UCAGAGUUUGAUGAUUAAGGUACAAUAAAUUAGAGACACUGAUUAGAUAUAAAUCAUUUUGAUUUGGAACCAUUUUUAUUUAAAAUGUCAAAUCAAAUGAAAACAUUAAACAAAUCGAGUUAAUUUAACAAGAAUUUUUGUUAUUGCAAAAUGUGCUUCCAUCUAUGAUAACUGUUAGUAGUCGUCUUCUUCUGAGAGGGAAAAAUUGUAUUUUCCCAUUAUUAUGUUAAGUUACAAAAGUUGACUUGUUUUCAUUAAACAUUUGUGUUGGCAAUGUUUGUGUGAUAUUUUUUUUGAACGCGCAUUUUAUUUUAUUUUUGUGUGUUUGCUAAUUUUGUUUCAUUUAAUUUUCCUGUUACAGUUUAUUUUAAAUGAUUUGUGACCAUCAUCAACUUUACAAAUUGUGACGAUUUAUUAAUACAGAGGAUAAACUUUGAUUAGGUGGUUCAAUAAUUGUUAUCCAAACGAUCCAGGAAAUUUACAAGAUUGAUGCGAUGGACACGCUACGGGAACAAGUUAUGAUUAAUCAGUUUGUCUCGGUUGCUGGGUGUAAUCAUGAUCAGGCAAAGAAAAUGCUUAAAAACAAUAAUUGGCAAUUUCAACGAGCUUUGAGUAUCUUUUUUCAAGAGUCACCCGUUGUCGGGCUUAAUCCAAGUGGAAGAUAUAAUCCACUUACAACACCAGCCAAUACUCCAGCAACACCACCUAAUUUUCCGGAAACCUUGUUGGCUUUUUCAAAAUUUACAACAUCGCCCGAAAUUGAUGCAAACAACAAAUCAAAUGUAAAUGUUGAUAAUGACAUCAACGAUAAUACUGUAAACUAUAACAGUAACAACAACAAACCUCUCAAUCAUCUCCAAUUUAAUUCUCAUCUUUAUGGGGUCUCUAAAAUUCAACCCCAAUUCAAUCAUCAUCAUCACCACAAUGUAAAUAAUGCAAACUCCUUCACCGAUAAUGGUUCACCAGCACCAGCAGCAUUAACUCUGGAUGGAACCAGCAAAAUUCAACUUAAAGAAUUGGUAUAAUGGAUCUCAUAAGUAUCAAUGCAUGAUUUUUGGACAGUUAAAUCAAAAGGACGAUUCAUUCACCCGGAAAAGCCAAAAAAGCUAAACUUUCUAUUCUUUCAUUCUCACCAUCAACUCUUUACUUCUAUCUCUUUCUCUUUUCCUCUUAUCUUAUUUUUCAUUAUGGAUCUAAUCAAUCAAACGUUUCCCAUAAUUCUAUCUUUCCUCAUCUAAUUACAUCGUAUUAAGCCCUUAAAAGUUAUUACAUUAUAAAUGUAUGUUUUUUGAUGUUUUUUUCUGGUUCAAAAGAAACGUACAAAUUACCUUAACUAACACAUAAUUGAAUAAAAAAUGUUGAAUUUAACUCAAGAUUCACUUGAUCACUUUGUUAUUCAUCGCCACAACCCACACACAGACUAACCUAUGAGGAAAAAGUUUGGAUCUAAUUGGUUUAAUUGUUUGUUGUUUUCUCGUAAUUCCUUGCAGCUAGAAGUUCAAAUUACCUUCAGAAUUGCGUUGCAACUCAAAACAUUUAAAUAUAAACAUUUGAGAUCAUGGUUUUUCAAAAUACGGUUUGAAAAUUGCCAAUCUUAACUCUCACUUUAAAAACCUAGGAAAAGGUUACCAGGCUCAAUAGUGAAAAAAUGCGUCACAUUCAAUGUUUUAAAUCCUGAUAUUAAGAUAAAGCUUUCUCAAGAUCUGGAUUAAAUUACAUCAGCACGUGUCUUCAAUCUUCCUCAAUGCAUUUUCGAACAAGAAAAUCUUUGUAUAAUCUGAAGAGUAUUGAUUAAACAAUCGAACCCGAAUUUCCCCCCAUCCCGAAUUCAUCGAUCCCUUCAUCAACCUCAAAAUAAACCUACAAUUUGCAUAUUGAUCAAACUAAUUCUUGUUUUUUUUCAUCUUUUACAGACAUCUUCACCAAGCCACUUUUGAUGGAUACAUUAUUUUCCCAAACAAUCAAUAAAAGAGGUAAAUUAUCAAAACUACUUAACCUUGAAUUAUAGCAACAGACUGAAUAUUGGAUUCGCCAUUCUUACCUUUGUUCAAUGCCAUACAACAUGAUAUACAUUUUCAAGUUCAAGAUCAUUCUCAAUGAGACUCCAACCAACAUUGUCCUGCGCUCUUUACUCAACUUUUGUUUUGAGUCGCAUCCAGAUUCAUAUCACCAUGAGUUGAUCAGGUGAAAUAACAUAGAUCUGUACUUUAGAUGUUAAUUUUUAUGGCAUUAGAAUAGAUUACCCAACGAAAGUAAAAACAUCAACAAGCUGAUAAGCUAAAAUAAGCUUCCAUUGGUGUAGCUUUCUGAUGACUAUCCAGCAUCAACGAGGAAGA